rnacentral:rRNA from 1 species
AUUCCCCUAGUAAUGGCGAAUGAAGCGGGAACAGCUCAAAUUUGAAAUCUCCGUCGCCUGCGACGGCGAAUUGUAGUUUCGAGAAGCACUUUCUAGGCGGACCCGGGGCCGUCCAAGUUGCUUGGAACAGCACGUCAUAGAGGGUGACAACCCCGUCUGUGGCGGAACCGGCCGCUCACGAUGCGCUUUCGAAGAGUCGGGUUGUUUGGGAAUGCAGCCCAAAAUGGGUGGUAAACUCCAUCUAAAGCUAAAUACUGGCACGAGACCGAUAGCGAACAAGUACCGUGAGGGAAAGAUGAAAAGCACUUUGAAAAGAGAGUUAAAAAGUACGUGAAACCGUUAAAAGGGAAACGAAUGGGGUUAGCAAUGCGCCGUGCGAGAUUCAGAUGCUGGGCGGGCAGGCCGGGCGGUCUGCGGAUCCGAAUGGACCGCGGCCGUUCGGCUCGGCCCCUCCGCCGUCGCACUUCUCGCCGGCGCGCGUCAGCGUCGGUUGGGACUGGGUCUCAAAGGCGUCGGGAAGGUAGGUCCCGCCCUCCGGGGCGGGACUGUUAUAGCCCGUCGUCGCCAUGGCUCGGACCCGACCGAGGUGCCGCGGCGCGUGCCUCUUCUGGCUGGGGUCCCGUCGUUCCGGUCGGUCGUCGACUGCGGUGGACUGCAUGCAGUGCGCCGCGACUGCUGCCGGUCGCUCCGGCGGUGACCUCACACCACGCGCCCAGGACGCUGGCGGUCACAUGGCCUCAUCCGACCCGUCUUGAAACACGGACCAAGGAGUCUAACAUGUGCGCGAGUCUUCGAGUGAUCGAAACUCCCAGGCGGAAUGAAAGUGAAGGCGGCCUCGGCCGCUGAGGUGAGAACCCCCCCUCGUCGGGGGGCGCAUCAUCGACCGACCUAUUCUACUCUUAGGAAGGUUAGAGUAAGAGCGCAUCUGUUG